CCUACGGGCGGCAGCGGGGAAUAUUAGGCAAUGGAGGCAACUCUGACCCAGCAGUGACGCGUGAGUGAUGAAGGUAAUUUUAUUGUAAAGCUCUUUUCUUUGGAACGAAGAAAAGACGGUACCAAAGGAAUAAGCCCAGGCUAACUACGUGCUAGCAGCCGCGGUAAUACGUAGGGGGCAAGCGUUGUUCUGAAUGACUGGGCGUAACGGGUGUGUAGGGGGUGUGAUAAGUUAGAUGUGUAAUACCCAGGGCUUAACUCGCGUGCUGCAUCUAAAACUGUUAGACUUGAGUACUGGAGAGGAUAGUGGAAUGCCUAGUGUAGCGGUGGAAUGCGUAGAUAUUAGGAAGAACAUCAGUGGCGAAGGCGACUAUCUGGACAGCAACUGACGCUGAGGCACGAAAGCGUGGGGAGCAAACAGGAUUAGAUACCCUUGUAGUC
rnacentral:rRNA from 1 species